rnacentral:rRNA from 1 species
UACAGAGGUCUCAAGCGUUGUUCGGAUUCAUUGGGCGUAAAGGGUGCGUAGGUGGUGACGCAAGUCUGGUGUGAAAUCUCGGAGCCUUAACUCCGAAAUUUGCACCGGAUACUGACGUAACUCGAGGAUUGUAGAGGAGAUCGGAAUUCACGGUGUAGCAGUGAAAUGCGUAGAUAUCGUGAGGAAGACCAGUUGCGAAGGCGGAUCUCUGGGCAGUUCCUGAC